rnacentral:ribozyme from 1 species
UAGUUCACCCAAAGAAGGAAUGCAAGUAGCAGGAGAAGAAGAAGGAUUGGAUGAAAAAUCCAAUUCAUUCACAUCUUUUUAUUACGAUACAAUCUUUGUUUCUUCUUCCAAUCGUUAUCUGAAUCCUAAUAGUGGGAAUCCUUCUUCUCCAAAAAAUACGAAUCAAG